GGAAUGCUGAUGCUCACCGAGAAGCCUGUACCGGUACCUAGCUGCAGCCGCCGAGUAACACCACUCCACAUCAAAGCUGUACGAUGCUGUCAACCAACACAUAACGAAGAUAGUGCGCCCCGCACUACAUAAAACCGAAGCGAUAAGCGAAAUCGGCAGGAAGAAACUUAACAGGGUUGCUAAAACGAUAAUCGAGAAAUACAACGGUGCGAUCAAGAUCAUGGACAAAGUGGAGAACAAACUGAUCUGCGCAGAAGUUGAAGCAGCCUCUGAUGCGGAGACAGCUGCGACGGAGGCGUCAUCUUCUGCUGCACGGACCCAGUCGACGACGACGACCACCACCCCCACCGCCAGCCCGACUCCUGCGCCCCC